AUUGAACGCUGGCGGCAUGCCUUACACAUGCAAGUCGAACGGUAACGGGUCCUUCGGGAUGCCGACGAGUGGCGAACGGGUGAGUAAUAUAUCGGAACGUGCCCAGUAGUGGGGGAUAACUGCUCGAAAGAGCAGCUAAUACCGCAUACGACCUGAGGGUGAAAGGGGGGGAUCGCAAGACCUCUCGCUAUUGGAGCGGCCGAUAUCAGAUUAGCUAGUUGGUGGGUAAAGGCCUACCAAGGCAACGAUCUGUAGUUGGUCUGAGAGGACGACCAGCCACACUGGGACUGAGACACGGCCCAGACUCCUACGGGAGGCAGCAGUGGGGAAUUUUGGACAAUGGGCGCAAGCCUGAUCCAGCAAUGCCGCGUGAGGGAAGACGGCCUUCGGUUGUAACCUCUUUUGUUACGGUAGAAGGAAGUGACGGUACUGUACGAAUAAGUCCCGGCGUAACUACGUGCCAGCAGACCGCGGUAAAACCGUAGACCGUG
rnacentral:rRNA from 1 species